AGUGUAGGGUUCCUAGCGAGCCCAACCUCCCACCCGUGUUUACUGUACCUUAGUUGCUUCGGCGGGCCCGCCAUUCGUGGCCGCCGGGGGCUCUCAGCCCCGGGCCCGCGCCCGCCGGAGACACCACGAACUCUGUCUGAUCUAGUGAAGUCUGAGUUGAUUGUAUCGCAAUCAGUUAAAACUUUCAACAAUGGAUCUCUUGGUUCCGGCAUCGAUGAAGAACGCAGCGAAAUGCGAUAACUAGUGUGAAUUGCAGAAUUCCGUGAAUCAUCGAGUCUUUGAACGCACAUUGCGCCCCCUGGUAUUCCGGGGGGCAUGCCUGUCCGAGCGUCAUUGCUGCCCAUCAAGCACGGCUUGUGUGUUGGGUCGUCGUCCCCUCUCCGGGGGGGACGGGCCCCAAAGGCAGCGGCGGCACCGCGUCCGAUCCUCGAGCGUAUGGGGCUUUGUCACCCGCUCUGUAGGCCCGGCCGGCGCUUGCCGAACGCAAAUCAAUCUUUUUCCAGGUUGACCUCGGAUCAGGUAGGGAUACCCGCUGAACUUAAGC
rnacentral:rRNA from 1 species